AAAAGGUUAAUAUAAGUUCCAGUAUGUUUGAUUUCGAAUCAGGCAGUGCUAUGUUUUAGCACCUUUUU
rnacentral:tRNA from 1 species